rnacentral:rRNA from 1 species
GCAGCAAUACGGUGACGUGGAGCAAAUCUCAAAAAUGCCUCCCAGUUCGGAUUGUAGUCUGCAACUCGACUACAUGAAGUUGGAAUCGCUAGUAAUCGUAGAUCAGCUAUGCUACGGUGAAUACGUUCCCGGGUCUUGUACUCACCGCCCGUCACACCAUGGGAGUUGAACUCAUUCGAAGCGGGGAUGCUAAAGUAGCUACCUUCCACAGUGGAUUCAGCGACUGGGGUGAAGUCGUAACAAGGUAACCGUAGGAGAACCUGCGGUUGGAUCACCUCCUUU